CAAUGUUGGCACCCAAGAAAAUGUUGCCUCCACUUCAUUUUGUGUUGAAAACGCACGUUAGUUUCUUUUUAAUCAGGCUUUUCAAAUCCUUGUGUGCCUCUUUGCCCCUUCCCCUUUUCCAUUCCUUGUGUUUUCUUGUGGCGACUAGGUUAAUUGUUUCUUGGCUUAGCUAUAUAUAUUUUUCUUUUGCUCAUAGCUCUAUACCUCGAGUGAGUCUACUCAGACUCGUCCGAAUUGAUUGAACUUCUUUUGCUCAUAGCAGUGAGUCUACUCAGACUCAUCCGAAUUGAUUGAACUUGACAAAUUCUCGAGUAUAAACAGGAACCUGCCAAACUCAAACAAUUCUUAUAUUUCUUUGGCAUCACUUAUUUAGACUCCACUGAGCCUCUGGUCCGAAUUGAUUGAACUUGACAAAUUCUCGAGUAUAAACAGGAACCUGCCAAACUCAAACAAUUCUUAUAUUUCUUUGGCAUCACUUAUAUAGACUCCACUGAGCCUCUGACAAACUAUGAUGAGUCUUUAGAGAUCACUCAGACACUCUGCCAAAUUCCAAAUCCAAGCCUUGUUUUUGAAUAUGAUCUUAAGUUCACAAAUUACUAUUUUGUAAUUUAUUUAGAG
rnacentral:lncRNA from 1 species